GGUCCCUUUACCGGGUCCACUACUCAUCAGGGGAGGCCCGGUGCUUUCUCUGCCAGGCAAUGGGGCAUGUCUGGAGGGACUGCCCCUGGCCAGGUUGGUGGAGGUGUCUAGGCCCUCUGGGCCCAGGAGGGCGCCAGCCCCAACAUCACCGGCCCCCCUGGUAGUCCGGCCUCCACAACUGCCACUCCUCCAAAUGACAGCUCUGCUAGGAGCCCGGAGGCACUCCCUCUGGUGUACCCAGACCUGAUCUUGCAGAAAAUAUCCAAAAUCGUACUAGCUGUGGAACUCCAACCAUGUGGGAAGCUCUCUCUGGGUUUAGGGAAGGGCAGUGUGGUCAUGCGGAGAUGGAAGACUCUCCCUCAUUCAGAAAAGUCCUCAUGGCAUGGUGCUGAGCAUAUUCUUCGCAUAUUUCUUGGCAUUCGCUUUAUGCUGGAAUGAGGAAAAAUCUCGGGAGGCCAUGAACAUACCCUUUUGUGAAGCCCUUGAGCUGAACCACUGGCAAAUGCCAUCAGCAUUUGAUUCCUCUGGACCAGUACAGUCCUGUGGGAAAGCAUAAUGAUGCAGCUAUGGGAUGAUCGGCAGUGGCUGCAAAACUUGUGCAUAUGUAAGGCCACUUUUAUAGACGUUUUUGAGUUGUUUUCCCCUGCCCUGAAGCACAAGAAUAGCAGAAUGAGAUCUACUCUGACAGAGGAGAAGUCAGUGGCAAUUAUCCUGUAGAAGCUUAAAACACCAGUCACCUACCAGUCAGCUGGGAAUCAAUUUGGAUUGGGGAAAUCUACCAUGGGGGCUGUUGUUUUUCAAUACUCUUCUGCUACAGCGAGUAGUGACUCUGGGAAACAAGGAGGAUCUAGAGAACGGCUUUGCCGGGAUGAGGUUCCCUAACUGUGGUGGGGCGAUAGACAAAAUCUGCAUCCCUUUCUUAGCCCCUGACCACCUAGCCAAAGAGUACAUUUACUGAAAGGGGGUGGUACUUUGUUACCCUAAAUUUCACUGGAGGACCACCCCAGGUUUAUACUUAUAUGGAUUUAUUAAAUGAGGAAUUAACAAUCCACUAUAGAGUUAAACUAAAGGGGAUUAAGCUGUAAUUGAAUGCCAUUAUAUCAAGGAGAACUAUCUCUCUCUCACACACACAUUCAUUCAUGUCCUCAGGCACUCAUACCCUUAGGCAGGCAAAGGGUUGCAGAGGAAGAGAGA